rfam:Schistosoma rodhaini strain Burundi genome assembly, scaffold: SROB_scaffold0005370
AUCCAGUUGACGAGUCCCAAAUAGGAUGAAAGGCGCAUCCUGGAU